rnacentral:rRNA from 1 species
CGUGAGGAACCUGCCUUCCAGAGGGGGACAACAGUUGGAAACGACUGCUAAUACCGCAUGAUGCAUUGAAGUCGCAUGGCUUUGAUGUCAAAGAUUUAUCGCUGGAAGAUGGCCUCGCGUCUGAUUAGCUAGUUGGUGAGGUAACGGCCCACCAAGGCGACGAUCAGUAGCCGGACUGAGAGGUUGGCCGGCCACAUUGGGACUGAGAUACGGCCCAGACUCCUACGGGAGGCAGCAG